rnacentral:rRNA from 1 species
CGUGUAGGCGGCACGAUAAGUUGGAUGUGAAAGCUCCCGGCUAAACUGGAGAGGACGUUCAAUACUGUCGAGCUUGAGGAUGGGAGAGGGAGGUGGAAUUCCGGGUGUAGUGGUGAAAUGCGUAGAUAUCCGGAGGAACACCAGUGGCGAAGGCGGCCUCCUGGCCCAUUUCUGACGCUCAGACGCGAAAGCUAGGGUAGCAAACG